UUAAGUUCAGCGGGUAGUCCUACCUGAUUUGAGAUCAAAAGUUCAGGGCGUUGUCCUUUGGUGAAGACGGUUAUAAGCCAGAGCGUCUCCGACAUUGUCGCUCAGGAUGACACAAAUCGGCGUAGAUGUUUAUCACACCGGUCAAGCCAUCGAGAUCAACUCAAAGCUAAUGAUUUCAAGAGGAGCUGGCGAACGCCAGC
rnacentral:misc_RNA from 1 species